rnacentral:lncRNA from 1 species
UGUGUUGUGUGUAAAAAGUUGUUAUAUUUCAUUUUCAUCCGAAAUAUCAGGUGGUGUGUUUUAGAAUUUAGUAAUAAAAAAACCGUUUCAUUUUGAUUCAAUCUCAAAACUAGCGAUUGGUUUGACUGUGUAAUGGAGCUAUAAAUGGAAUUCAGGAAUGUGAAGGAGAUUUGAAAUGGAUCAUGUGGUUUGGAUCGCACGAGGAAGAACCAGAGGGGGUCAAGAGGGCAAAGAGGUGCUUAAUAGAAGAAAUUAUCUUCAAAUUAUCCUUUGGGUGCGGAUGUAAGUUUGUAAGCAGUGAAUGAAGCAUCGGUGGGCAAACAGCAGCAUCCAAGCGUUAUCUGAUACAUCCUAACACGAAUUCUGGUUUUACACCAAAUUAUGAGGUAAGUGUGUUUUGCAUUUAUAUUCUGUCAAUGCAUUUCUUCCUCAGGAUUGGUAAGUCUUUGAAUCCAUAUCAGUUUAAUGCUUUAGUAAAAACAACCACCAAUGCAUCAUCUUUGCUUUUACAAUCACCAAACUUAAAACGUUAGGUGUAAGCAAAUGGGUACGCACUUGUUGACCUACAAAGCUUAUAAACUAAACCAGACCAGACUGGUAUUUUGGUUCGGUUCUGGAGUUUUCAAAAAAUCAAUUCUCUGUUCGAUUUCUGGUUGAGUUUACUUUGAAAAAAUCAGACAUCAUUUCGCACGCUUCGGUUUUAAAGAGGAACCAUGUUGGUUUUCUUCGUAUAUGGCAGAGGGUCAUUAUGUUCAAAUUUUCGCGUCAAACUUUAGCUACAUCCAAGAGGUAUGAAAAUCACUGUACUACAUAUUAUGUGUCGAAUAUUUUAGGUUUCAUCUUCAAGAGGUAUGAAAAUAUCUGUUUAAUUUGAUGAAAAAUAUAACCUCUAUAAAAAGAAAAUAAAAACCAUGUCAUUUAGUAAGAAACAUUCAAAACCAAAACUAGUUACUACUUACGCCUUACGACCAACAAAUCCAUAACCAAAAACCAUAGACAAGAAACCAAGACUUUUUAACUAACUAAGAGUAACAAGCUCAUUUCAACUUUUAGGUGCAUUCUUUACAUUCCAAAUACCCGGGGGGUGUAUAAAUCGCCCGAAGUGGGCGUUUGGAACAUAUAGUCACCAUAAUCCGACAACAAACUGUCAAACCCAUAUUUUUGUACCUCACCUCUAGUACCACCCUGUUGUUGAACUUGAACCUCCUGCAACGGGUUAUGCUGCUGAAACCCACCACCUUCAAACUUCGGCUGUUGGGUAAACAAAGACGGUGUAGAGUUGUAGCUCUGGCGAUGUAGAUCCGCUAGCCCGGAAGUAAGACCACCAUACAAAUCAACCUGAGAAGGAAACUGGGGCGUUGUAUGUUGUUGUGGCUGCAACAUUGUCGGUUGAGAAAACUGAGGCACGGAUUGCUGUUGCAUAUAAAGCCACGGUUUUGUGUCCUCAUCAAACGAACUGCUCCAGGAGUUGUUCAAAAAGUUUGUUGAUAAUUUUCCGACAUCGCCGUUGAUGUUGCAUAGAUUCCCCAAAAAUGGUGAACCGUAAAGGGCGUUUGGUCCUGUCCUCAUAUAAUUUCCUAAAUAAAUAAAACAAAGCAGUGUUAGUUCAAGUUGUAAUUCGUAAAUGGAUAUCGCGAUAUACGCAUGUCCAUUUGAAGCCGCGCCUGAUUUUACUUGCCUGUCGGGACUAGGAUACGCUCAUAUCUAUAUACGAAUAUAUCCUAUAUGCAACUUGUAGCAUAAUUUGUUAAUAUGUAAUUCACAAAUUAUAGAUUGUCAAUAGCAAAUAGACACAUGGAAUAUCUUAUAUUAUAUAUACUAUAAAUAUGGCUAUUCUGUCAAUAUCAAACACCUUUAGCCCCUCAAUUUUAAUAAUAAAUAUCUUUAGACCCUCAAAUUUAAUAAAAACAUGUUUAACCCCUCAACUUUAAUAAUGACAUGUUUGGACCCUUAACUAAAACAACUUUAGCCCCUUAACUACAUCAAACAACUUUAGCCCCUUAACUAAAACAACUUUAGCCCCUCAACUUUAAUAAUGGCAUAUUUAGCUUCUCAACUAAAACAACUUUAGCCCCUUAACUAAAACAACUUUAGCCCCUCAACUUUAAUAAUGGCAUAUUUAGCCCCUUAACUGAAACAUCAAACAACUUUAACUCUUAGUGAUUUGCUUAAUUUUAUCUACGUUUUGAACUCGCUGCGAAGCGCGAAUGGUAACCCAUUAGUUUUCACAAAUAGUCUAAUGCUUCCAUUCAACUGUGUAAACCCUAAUUUAGUGCAAGUGUUUGACUAUUUACCAUGCGGAAAAUACACAUCAAUAACGUGUGUGUAUAUAUAUAUAUAUGAAAUGAACCCCACCCAAUAUAUAUGUAAAGAGAGUUGGAGUGCAAAGAUAUUUUGCUUACCUGAGCCAGCAGCAACAGCCUGUUCAGCUCUCAUGCAGGAGGAAAAACCAGGUGGCGGCUUUAUGGUCGCCGAAAAUCCUGGCGGUGUCGAGUUCUGUACCCUAGAUGCUAUUAUUUGAAACAAAAUACGUUAAUGUAUACAUACACAAACACACAUGACACAUGUAUAUGUGUGUGAGAGAGAGAGAGACGUACCAAUGGUGCUAGUGCUUAGAUCAUUUUGCUGACCAGAAAACCGAUGUUCAUUUGCAAACGAGAAUAUGGACUGAUCAUUAUUUUGAAAGUUCCAAGAACGCGCAUCUUUCGGUUGCAGCAAUCCUGCAACCGUUUGAGGGUACGGUGAAUCAUCACCGUCUAAAUCUAUGGACAAAAUAUUGGAUAUUAUACUACUCUCCAAAGCAGCAGAAUCUUCGUCAUCAUCUACUAGAGGUGCAUCAUGAUCAAGCCGUCUCAAAUGCUCCACAAUCUCUUCAUUCGAAAACGAGUUCGCGCCUCUGUAUAUCUUAUCUGAUUUAGCUAAGCUUUGAAAUUUGUUUUCGUUGUACCCAUCGUUCAAUGUCGAAUCCGUAUAUUGCGACGGUUGUAUGUUACUGUUAUCUUCCUCAUCUACAUAACUGUUUAGAACGUAAUGAUCUGCACUAAUCGGGUUAUCAUUUUCAGUAUCAUACCAAGGAUCACUGUAGUUCUUAAAAGAGUCCUUUGACUUUUUAUCAUCAAAAGUCGGUGAAUCAACAAAUUGGUUAGGGUUUGAUGAUGUAUAUUGAACUGAAUCUGAGCGUUCAAUCUCUACAUGCUUACUAUCAGAGCACACCAUAUCUACAAAUGUUGUCGCUUCUUUUGACGGUUUGAUAGGUGCAUAACCAACAUCCUGGGCAAAAACAUCAUAAAUGAUCCUCAGCUGAAGCAUUGUGAUUAAAUUGCUCAACUACAGGUGGUGGCAACGUACUUCCGGAGCGUCUAUGCACAUAUUUGUGAUGUAGAAAACAAGAGUGAAGGUAAGCGAUUGAAGGAGAAAUGGAAGCGAAGACCGAACUCAGGAGUACGGCAUAAAGAAAUGGAAGCCACAGGGUUUACUUUUUAUAUCUUUUGGUAAAACGAAUACCAGUAACGGCACCUUGUUCGAAUGGUAUUGAUCGGUUCAGAUCAUCUCUGAUACUGGUACUGAUACUGAUAUUCAUUUAUUUUCGUAGAUAAAGUUGUAUGAAAAGUUAUUAAACUGGAAAUCGUAAAAUGAAUACGUGUACCGGUGUUGUUCGGUAUGGCAGUGAUAUGGUGUCAGUUUAUCAAAAACAAAACCAUUGAAAAAAAAUAUAUCGGUACCGAUACAGAUGU